UAAAAAAAUACAUCUAUUUUAAAGAGUUUUAAAUGAAAAAUUUUAUAUUAUAUACUUUAACUGUGUUGUGGUACACCUGUAUAUAAUAUAUACAUAUAUAUAGUGUGUACAUGAAAGAGUGAAAUAGAUAUAUUUCUUCAUGUAUAAAAGACCAUGUAAUUCAUGUAACAAAUUAGUAUUCAACGACUAGUGACUAGAACACCACGACUCCAAUCUCUAACCAAUCAAAAAUGGAUUUCUUAGAGACCCUAAAUGAAUCAAAACCUGUUAUUGGUUAUACGAAAAUUGAAGAUCUAUGUAUUGGGUUUGAUUAUAAGAUCACCGGAUGUAAAUUAAGGAAAACACCUUAUGGAACUAAAAUAUGCCUUUAUUUAACCAAUAAGGAAAAUGAGGAUAUUUGGAUAUUUCUACCAAAAAGUUAUGUAAACAAAUUUUCUACUAAGACACCAUUUAAGAAAUUGACUGAGAACGGAAUUUCUCAUAUGGUAUAUAAAGGAAAGGAUCCCAAUAGAUAUAGCUGUGCUCAAAUUGAAUUUAUCAGUAAAUAAAUGAAGUAAAUAAAUGAAGUAAAUAAGAAAUUCCCCUUAUAAAAGAUUGAAUUUCUUAUUCCAAAAUCAGUCUUAGUUCAACCUUAACAAGUUACAAGUCUUACAAAAAUGCACGCUAAACAAAUUGAAGUCUUCUUGAUGCAGUUUGAAGACAUGUUAUUCGAGCAACACCUCAGGAGGCUUGAAUAUUUAAAAGCCACCCUUGAGGACUUAGCGGAAAAGGAGUUAAUACAUUCAAAGUUUGGAUUCCACUACAAACUUUGUCCUUGGAGUGAUGAAGAUGCUACAUCUGGACCAGACACAUGUCAGUGUCAUAUGCUGCCGAUAUUAGAAGACGAGGCCCUUAAUAUUAUGCUUAAAUAUUAUAAGUUAAACCAGAGAUUGUAUCGCUCAGAAACAUUAAAUAAACUCAACUAAUAAUAAAAAAAA